GAUGAACGCUAGCGGCAGGCCUAAUACAUGCAAGUCGAGGGGUAGGGGAGCUUGCUCCUUGAGACCGGCGCACGGGUGCGUAACGCGUAUGCAACCUACCUAUACCUGGGGGAUAGCCCGGAGAAAUCCGGAUUAACACCGCAUAAAAUCACAGCAGGGCAUCCUGUAAUGAUCAAACAUUCAUGGGGUUUAGAUGGGCA
rnacentral:rRNA from 1 species